UACGUAGGGGGCAAGCGUUGUCCGGAUUUACUGGGCGUAAAGAGCGCGUAGGCGGAAGCUUAAGUGUGGCCUGAAAGCCCCCGGCUCAACCGGGGAAGGUGGCUGCAAACUGGGCUUCUUGAGGGGGAUAGAGGAAAGUGGAAUUCCGGGUGUAGCGGUGAAAUGCGUAGAUAUUCGGAAGAACACCAGUGGCGAAGGCGACUCACUGGACACGUAUUGACGCUGAGGUGCGAAAGCGUGGGGAGCAAACAGG
rnacentral:rRNA from 1 species